CUCUUUUCUUUGUUUUUCAGGAAUGCCAGACCUCAUGCAAAUCAUGUUAGGGUGUUCUGGAGCAGCACUGGUGCCUCUGCCCCGACACUGCAGCUGCCAGGGGGUUGUCCCUCACUGCCCCUCACUGUUCCUGCUCCAUCCGGAGCGUUUCCACCUGUGCUGAGCAGGACGUGGUGCUGUCAGGGAGACAAGAAUCCUGACCAGCUCCCUGUGCCAUGGUUCCCACCUGAAAGCUCCUGAGAGACCAGUUCUUUCUGGGAAUAUCCACAUGGACACAUCCAGUGUGAAGAAAAAAGCAUAGUCUGGCUCCUCAGGUUGGGGAGAGGCUGGUUCACAAGUAACCAUGGCAACCAGGCUGUCACUGGGAGCAUCAAGACAUUUUCAUACCAAAAAUAAAAAAGCCCAAACACACAACAGACAUUCCUUCUCCAGCCAAUUUGGAGAUCCUAUCAUCAGUUGUGUUCCUCAGGGAUGCUGGCAGCAGCGGCAGGUAAAGAGAAUUUUCCUUCCCCUAGCUCCUGCAUCAGCAGCAAAUGUUGUUUCUGGUGAUAAAACCUAAUAAUGGCUUCCAAUUAAAAGGGGAUAUUUGAGUUUCAAGUUGAAGAAACACUGAAGAUGAUUUUAUGUUCACCUUAAAAGUUUCCAUCUGUCACACACUUCCCAAGCCAGUGUGCUCACAUCAAUAUUUAUAACACCCAGCCCAGUGUUUUCACAGAAAAGCCAUUAAUACAACAUAUCAGCUCUGGUGACAAGUUACAUUUUAUUGCUGUCAACAAACAAAAAUGUUCUUUGUCUGCAAACUCCCCUUUUUUCCCUUUUAAAAAUCAACCAUUAGAUUUGAGUUUUGAAGUAAAUGUGUAGAUGUGCUUUCCAACGUUCUCUGGAGGCCUACUGGAGACAUGACAGAUGGAGCUUGUAGGAGCUGACGGAAGGCACUGAUUAGUUUUCCUAAGAGAUGAAGUAACAGUUUUGGUUCUUUGCUUGGGAUGAUGAAACUCAUCAAAUUCCUAAGGAGAAACAGGGAACUUCAGGAGGUGAGUCUCCAAAAAAAAGAUUUAAUUUUGAAAACACCUCAGAGUAUUGAUCGCGGCACUAUUUCUCCAGUUUAAUUCCAUUUGUAUUUUUUCCCAUUGUAAAUGGGACAGGGGCCAUAUCAAAGCCACAAUAUUUGGGAGUCUUAUGUCACUGCAUUGUAGAGGCACUUCCCACUUCCAGGUAUCUCCAUUCUGCUCAGAGGGGCAUCCCCAGGACUCUGCCACAGCUCCUCACACCUCUCUCCACCACUCACCCCUGCAACUUGACAUGAGAUCAUACAAGGAGCCCUCUGGAAAACGAGUGUUUGGAUGCACUCUAUGAACCAUGUCAGUGUUUCUUUUUCUUCCCAUGCCAAUGACUCUGUUAAGAGGGUUAUCAGCAUGUACAGAAAUGUAAGUGGAUUUUUUUUAAACAAAAACAAGUUUAAAAAAGUUAUUCAUACCAGUGGAACUAGUCAGCUCCAGUGGUUUUAGUUGGAUCUAAGCAGCAGUAGUGAAAAAUGGAAUAUCUGUACCAAACAUGUCAGCUCUGCAGCUGGUUAAUGGAACUGAUAACUGUGUAACAAUCCCCUGCUAAUACCCAAUUUUAAAACCACUUAAAAUCAGAUAAAAUCACUCCAUUCCACAAAACUAUCCAUUGAGUCAACUGUGCCUUAUUGUUCUAGAAUUCCCCUUUCCAGUCCUUGUGGAGCUGUCCAGCUGCCAGAUCUGUUACAGCAGCCAAAUGACCUGCACAUACCUGCUGUUAUUCCUUACCAUGGACUCUGAGGGAAAGGUGGGAGCACUGAGAACAGUCCUGAGCUUCCAUUGAAUUUUAGAGCUGAUUACAGAGAUUCCCAUUUCUCUGAAGGAAGAGUGUGUCAUCCUUGGUGUUCUGCCAGGUUCUGUUUAAUUGCUCUUUAUUAAGAGCAGCCCCAGGCACUAGAUAAUCCAUACGGAGACUACAAUCCAUCCUGACCGAGCUGCAUCCCACAGCUUGGGAGGAACCUGCUGCAAGGCUCAGCCAGGUAAGAUUCUCUCAAAGGUGCAGAAAAACCAAAUGCAAGGUGGUAUCCUCAUGAGAGUAAAGGAGCUCAUGUUUUUCAUUUUCUGUUCAUCAAUUUCCUCUCUCAUUCUGCCAUGUGGUGCAUCUCUCAUCUAAUUUGGAAAAGCAAGGGAGAAAUGGAAACACACCCAGAGAUCAACAACACUGUUCUGACAGUGCCUGUGAUGGGAUAAUGAUCACCCUCACUGUGCUCACUCAUUUGGCUCUCAUUUGAAGGUCAGGGCUUUGAGUAUCUCUGUGAACAAUGCACAGAGCUAUGACCAAAGUAGGGGGGAAAAUUCUAGACUAGGAUCAAAAUGUGGAACUCUUAAAAAUCCUCUGAAAGUCCUAAGAGUCCAUAGCUGUCCAUAUAUAAACUGUAGUUGUAAUUUGUGUAGCCUGAAGGACUGGCCAGUCCAUGAGCUGUUGUUCCAGUAGUAUAGACUGCAGGCAUCUCAGUGGUUCAUCCAGCUGCAGCUGACUUUAAAUCAGGAGCUGGUGACCUCCCGAAAAUACCCUGGAGAUUCCAGCUUUACUGAGCUCAGUAUUAACUCUCACUGAAUCUGAAGGCAUUAGGAUUGUGUGGCCAGUGCCCAAUAUGGUGACACUCAGAAAUA